UACGAAGGUGGCUAGCGUUACUCGGAAUUACUGGGCGUAAAGCGAGUGCAGGUGGAUUUACAAGUCAGUGGUGAAAGCCCAGAGCUUAACUUUGGAAUUGCCUUUGAAACUGUAAAUCUUGAGGUCGGUAGGGGAUAGUGGAAUUCUUAGUGUAGAGGUGAAAUUCGUAGAUAUUAAGAGGAACACCAGUGGCGAAGGCGACUGUCUGGACCGAUUCUGACACUCAGACUCGAAAGCGUGGGGAGCAAACAGG
rnacentral:rRNA from 1 species